CUAUGUCUUUUUUAUAUUAUUUCACUGAGAUAUGCUUUACAGUGGGACUCACAUAACACGGGGGCUAAGCCUUCACUGGGUCAGAUGAAGUGGGUAAGUCAGCCCGUACCUAACACCUGGCUUUUGCCACAUUACUUGUAAAGCAGUGGUACUAAUUUUUUUUCCCCCCAGAUUAGUGCUUCAGCAUCUUUCCUGCUCCCUAAGUCCUAGGGUCCACAAGACAGAAAAAAGCACCGUUGCUUGGGGAAUGCAGAUGGUGCUGAGAGUAAUGGCGGUGCUUAAGAGUCCCUUCUCUCCUUUUAAACCAUCCAGUAACCCACAGCCGCAUCUUUUCUGUCUGUGCUGAGGGUACUAGGAAGAGCUACUUGUCCUGGUUUCUGAGACAGACCUUUGCCCACUGGAAAAAUGGUGGAAAGUACCAAAUAAUUUCAUUUGUAUGACUAAAGAAAAGUCACAGUUUACUUGGGUGGGGCUCAAAUCAGCUUUCUUUUAGUUGCACACAUUGUCAGAAGUAUUCAAGAGUUAACUAUGCUUCAGAUAAAAAUUAUCUAUUUUUAUAGUAUUAGCAUGUCAUUAUAUGAUCUUUCUACUCUUCAAUUAAUGAAUUUGGUGAAACUUUUAUCCUAAUCUAUAUAUUUAUUGUAUAAUUAAUUGUCUUGUUGAAUUUUUGUAUUCACAUUUUGUAAAUGUUUUAUUUCUGAUCAGUUCUGUCAUUGGUGAGGAUUAUGUGACAUAAGUGUAUUUGACAUCCUUUCUGAAAAUAGGAAGUCUUCCUUUAAGAAAUAGCAACUAUCCAACUCUCUUUUAUUAUCUCUUAUACAAGGUGCAGACAACCGAUGGGGUUUUAAGACUGUUUAUGAAUUACAAAAUCAAGAAUUGACCUCUUGCUAUAUGCAGGGAAGAAGGAAUAUGUUUUAUUUUUAAUAUAACAUAAGCUUUAUUGUGUUGUCCUCUGACUUUAGUAAUGCACAGGGGAGAAAAGGUCUCCUUUCUGAUCAUUCAGACAUGUAAGAUAACGUGGUAAACUUUGAGUAGAAUUACUACUGCUCUGUGUUAGAAGAUUUCAUGAACAUUGCCUUUCACCAUUUGCUGAUUUAUAAAGCUGCAUGAAGAGGAAAAAUGAACCAGAUUUUCAACUGCUGCAAAUCGUGCAGCUGUUUCAAUAGGCCAGUUUCUAACCAAAAGUCAAGAAUCACAAUAACUAGACUGUAAAUACCAAUGGCCUCCAGAAAACUACAUCCUUACUCCUCUGUUGACUUGCAAAGACUUGUAGGGUAAGAUAAUGCUAUGUGUAUAGCACCUACAAGAAGAUUUUAUGUGGUAGUUCAAUAGCUUUAGCUGGAUUGCAGCUGAGCACUCAAAUGACAUUUUUUUCAGACAUUGUGGAUAGAAGAAAAAUAAUUUUUUCACAGGGAGGGUGGGUAAGCACUAGACCACAUUGGCCAGAGAGGCUGCGGUGCCUUCAUCUUUGCAGAUAUUGCCUGGACAUAACUCUGAGCAGCCUCAUCCAGCUUAGGAGCUGGCCAUGCUUUUUACGGUAGUUUGGACCAAAGACCACUGAGGGUCCUUUUCAGUCUGAUAUUUUCUGAAGCCUACAGCCAGAUGCUUUAUUUUGUAUAUGUAACUGACAGGUAAUUUAAUGUUUUGAAUGUUGGGUAUUUUUAUUAUAUCUAGAAGCUGGUAGGAAUUUCCCUGAAUCAUGAUUAAGUAAUGAUAAGAAAUCUUCUGUAGUUCCUAUUGAGAAGAGAAACUGACUCGGUCAAUUGGCAAGCAACAGAUUUUAAAGGCUGAACAAAUAACUUACAUCUAAUAAUCUGUACUGAUUUUGCUUCAGUAUUUUGAUCAGGAGCUAGACUGUGAUUCUCGUUUAUUUUUUUAUUCUGUAUUUGCUGAGGUUAGAACCUGGAUGACAGUCCUGCAAUAUUCAGUGAGGAUUUGUUACAGCAUCCUCUUAAGCCUUUUGAGGUCAUAGACAUGGAUUUUAGUUCCUUGAAAAACAGAACCCCAUCAGUAAAGGUGUGAAAAACUGUAGUUUUACGUAACAAAAAUGUCCAAAACUUGCACGUCUACCAACAGAAAACAAACGAUGGACCUAGGUAUCGUAAACAUGAAAAA